AUUGAACGCUGGCGGCAUGCCUUACACAUGCAAGUCGAACGGCAGCGCGGAUUUCGGUCUGGCGGCGAGUGGCGAACGGGUGAGUAAUACAUCGGAACGUACCCUGUUGUGGGGGAUAACUAGUCGAAAGAUUAGCUAAUACCGCAUACGACCUGAGGGUGAAAGUGGGGGACCGCAAGGCCUCACGCAGCAGGAGCGGCCGAUGUCUGAUUAGCUAGUUGGUGGGGUAAAGGCCCACCAAGGCGACGAUCAGUAGCUAGUCCGAGAGGACGAUCAGCCACACUGGGACUGAGACACGGCCCAGACUCCUACGGGAGGCAGCAGUGGGGAAUUUUGGACAAUGGGGGCAACCCUGAUCCAGCAAUGCCGCGUGUGUGAAGAAGGCCUUCGGGUUGUAAAGCACUUUUGUCCGGAAAGAAAUCGCGCUGGUUAAUACCUGGCGUGGAUGACGGUACCGGAAGAAUAAGCACCGGCUAACUACGUG
rnacentral:rRNA from 1 species